rnacentral:rRNA from 1 species
AGGUUGGCUCAGAAGCAGCCAUCCUUUAAAGAGUGCGUAACAGCUCACUAGUCGAAUGACUCUGCGCCGAUAAUUUACCGGGGCUAAGCAUACUACCGAAGCUAUGGAUCCCAAGGGAUGGUAGGGGAGCGUUCCAUGAACGGAGAAGUACGACCGAAAGGACGUGUGGAGAUCAUGGAAGAGAGAAUGCCGGUGUGAGUAGCGGAACGUGGGUGAGAAUCCCACGCACCGAAAACCCAAGGUUUCCAGAGGAAGGUUCGUCCGCUCUGGGUAAGUCGGGACCUAAGGCGAGGCCGAAAGGCGUAGUCGAUGGACAACAGGUAGAGAUUCCUGUACCCGUAUAUAUGUGAAGGAAUGACGGAGAGAGGAAGCUGCAGCCAGCGGCUGGAAGAGCUGGUGCAAGCGAGAUAUCGGGAUGGCAGGCAAAUCCACCAUCCGAAACGAGAAGGCGUGAAGCGUACGGAAAGCUACGGCGAGUACGGAAGGCAGUGGAGGAACUUCCAAGAAAAGUUUCUAACGUUAAGUAUAUAUGGCCCGUACCGAAAAUGGACACACAUGGGUGAGGAGAGAAUCCUAAGGUGAGCGAGAGAACUAUAGCUAAGGAACUCUGCAAAAUGACUCCGUAACUUAGGGAGAAGGAGUGCUCAUAGAGAUAUGAGCCGCAGUGAAACGGCCCAAGCGACUGUUUACCAAAAACACAGCUCUCUGCUAAGCCGCAAGGCGAAGUAUAGGGGGUGACGCCUGCCCGGUGCUGGAAGGUUAAGGGGAGGGGUUAACGCAAGUGAAGCCCUGAACUGAAGCCCCAGUAAACGGCGGCCGUAACUAUAACGGUCCUAAGGUAGCGAAAUUCCUUGUCAGGUAAGUUCUGACCCGCACGAAAGGCGUAACGAUUUGGGCGCUGUCUCAGCUGUAGACUCGGUGAAGUCUUAGUACCUGUGAAGAUGCAGGUUACCCGCGACUAGACGGAAAGACCCCAUGGAGCUUCACUGCAGGUUGAUAUUGGGAUUUGAUGCAGCAUGUACAGGAUAGGUAGGAGGCAAAGAGAUGGAUACGCCAGUAUUCAAGGAGCCGCUGUUGGGAUACUACCCCUGUUGUAUUGGAUUUCUAACCGGACGACGUAGAGCCGUUGACGGGACAGUGUCAGUCGGGCAGUUUGACUGGGGCGGUCGCCUCCCAAAGAGUAACGGAGGCGCCCAAAGAUACCCUCAGCUUGGAUGGAAACCAAGCGCAGAGUGCAAAGGCAAAAGGGUGUUUGACUGCGAGACCUACAAGUCGAGCAGGGACGAAAGUCGGGCUUAGUGAUCCGGCGGUGCUGAAUGGAAAGGCCGUCGCUCAACGGAUAAAAGCUACCCUGGGGAUAACAGGCUGAUCUCCCCCAAGAGUCCACAUCGACGGGGAGGUUUGGCACCUCGAUGUCGGCUCAUCGCAUCCUGGAGCUGAAGUCGGUUCCAAGGGUUGGGCUGUUCGCCCAUUAAAGCGGUACGCGAGCUGGGUUCAGAACGUCGUGAGACAGUUCGGUCCCUAUCUGUCGUGGGCGCAGGAAAUUUGAGAAGAGCUGUCCUCAGUACGAGAGGACCGGGAUGGACGCAUCAAUGGUGGACCAGUUGUCACGCCAGUGGCAUAGCUGGGUAGCUAAAUGCGGAAGGGAUAAACGCUGAAGGCAUCUAAGUGUGAAACCCACUUCAAGAUGAGAUUUCCCAUUGCGCAAGCAAGUAAGACCCCUUAAAGACGAUAAGGUAGAUAGGUCAGGAGUGUAAGCAUGGUGACAUGUUAAGCGGACUGAUACUAAUAGGUCGAGGGCUUGACCGA